ensembl:lncRNA
UUUACCAAUGUUUCCCAGACCCCAAGUCCUCCCAUUUACCAAUGUUUCCCAAGUCCUCCCCUUUACCAGUGUUUCCCAAACCCCAAGUCCUCCCAUUUACCAAUGUUUCCCAAGUCCUCCCCUUUACCAGUGUUUCCCAGACCCCAAGUCCUCCCAUUUACCAAUGUUUCCCAAGUCCUCUCCUUUACCAGUGUUUCCCAGACCCCAAGUCCUCCCAUUUACCAAUGUUUCCCAGACUCCAAGUCCUCCCAUUUACCAGUGUUUCCCAGACCCCAAGUCCUCCCCUUUACCAGUGUUUCCCAGACCCCAAGUCCUCCCAUUUACCAAUGUUUCCCAAGUCCUCUCCUUUACCAGUGUUUCCCAGACCCCAAGUCCCCCCUUUACCAGUGUUUCCCAGACUCCAAGUCCUCCCCUUUACCAGUGUUUCCCAGACCCCAAGUCCUCCCCUUUACCAGUGUUUCCCAGACCCCAAGUCCUCCCCUUUACCAGUGUUUCCCAGACCCCAAGUCCCCCCUUUACCAGUGUUUCCCAGACGCCAAGUCCCCCCUUUACCAGUGUUUCCCAGACCCCUGUCCUGUCCCCCCAUUAUCAAUGUUUCCCAUGUCCUGUCCCCCUUUACCAAUGUUUCCCAGACCCCUGUCCCCCCUUUACCAGUGUUUCCCAGAUCCCAAGUCCUGCCCUUUACCAGUGUUUCCCAGACCCCUGUCCUAUCCCCCCUUUACCAGUGUUUCCCAGACCCCAAGUCCCCCUUUACCAGUGUUUCCCAUGUCCUGUCCCCCCUUUACCAGUUGUUUCCCAUGUCCUGUCCUCCCCUUUACCAGUGUUUCCCAUGUCCUGUCCCCCCUUUACCAGUGUUUCCCAUGUUCUGUCCCCCCUUUACCAGUGUUUCCCAUGUCCUGUCCCCCCUUUUACCAGUGUUUCCCAUGUCCUGUCCCCCCUUUACCAGUGUUUCCCAUGUCCUGUCCCCCCUUUACCAGUGUUUCCCAUGUCCUGUCCCCCCUUUACCAGUGUUUCCCAGACCCCAAGUCCCCCUUUACCAAUGUUUCCCAUGUCCUGUCCCCCCUUUACCAAUGUUUCCCAUGUCCUGUCCCCCCUUUACCAGUGUUUCCCAGACCCCUGUCCUGUCCCCCC